rnacentral:lncRNA from 10 species
GUAAUUAACUAUUUUCUUUCUUUUUUCUUUUUUAGGAAUAGGGUCUCAUAGGACAAUGUCUCAGUACAACCUCAAACUUCUUGGCUCAAGCGACCCUCUCGCCUCAGCCCCCCUAGUAGCUGGGACUACGGGCACACCACCAUGUCUAGCUGGGACUACAGGCACACCACCAUGCCUGGCUAAUUAAUUUUUUUUUUUUUUUUUUUAGAGAUAGGGUCUUGCUCUGUUGCCCAGGCUGAUCUCGAACUCCUGGGCUCAAGCAAUCCUCCUGCCUCAGCCUUCCAAAAUGUUGGGAUUAUAGGCGUGAGUCACUGCACCUGGCCUUGUAAUGAUCUAAUUUCUUGUAUGGUUUAUUUAUCAGGGUCUGCCUUCCUAACAGGCUGUAGGUUCCUCAAGGGUUGGGACUGUGCCUGUGUUCUGGGCACCUGCCCAUGCCUGGCAAUUUGAAGAAGCUCAAUUGCUACAUGUUGAAGGAAUGAAUAAUUGCAUGAGCAACCAUCGAUAAUUGCAUGCUACAACCAUCAAACUUGCAGGGUUCUUCCAUGGAAUAAGUGAGGUAAUUAUGUGUAAAAAUGAAUGAAUGUUGUACUUGUUAUAAAAUAAGAUCAUGGGCUGGAGAAAUAGUCCAGCGAAUGAGUGAACGAAUCAAUGGCCUCAGCUGCCCGAGUGGGCGGAGCUUACGUUCUUUCCACAAGGGAAGUUCCCUAGGAGUUUCCGUCAGUAGCUCCCGAGCACGCCGGAGGCCUGGCCUGUGGAUGAGAUUGUUCCUUAUUUCCCCAGCUUCAGCACCACAGAAGAGACCAGAGUCUACCUUGCCAGCUCCUCUAGCACCGACCACGUGCCAAUUCAUGUCCUGAAUGCUCACUUCACUUCUUCACCUUGCUUCACUUCACUUACUGCACGGGAACAGAAAAGCCUAGAGAGGAUGGAUUACCUGUGCGGUUGCCUCCCUCUGCAGAGUGGGCGUGUCUCAGGAGCUUCUCUUCUUCUCCAGCCCAGUGCGGCCUCGUGUCAUCCAUAGGACCCACCGGCAGAGGGCAGGGCCUGCGAGUGGGGCCAGCCUCCUGGUGACUCUCGCCUCCUCUUUUCCAGCGGACGCUACCAGAGGACGAAGGUCUGACUCUGGCCAACGGCCCAGAAUUUCUGGCCCAGUUUUGCCUGAGGAAGCCAACUGUGCAGGAGGUCAGGAUCCCGGUAGGGUGAGAGUGGGAAAGUUAACAUUCCCAAGAGACUCCAAGCAACAGGAUUUCCUGACCUGGGACUAUUACCUUUCUCACAUUACAUGGCCAGAUUUACUUCCUGCUAUUAUUAAAAGUACGAAAAAGAUGAAGAUAUGUGUUUAAUGGAAACAAGGGCAAGAGUUUGCCUGACUGGACUUUGAGGAGGCUGUAGGAUCAUGGCGCUAACGGCAUUUGGAGGGCUGGGAAGGGACUCUAGCCCUGGCUUUACCUGCCUUUGUCAUCAGCUGGAGCAAGCAACUCCGCAACCUCGGAGCCUCAGUUUCCUUUUCUGUAAAAGGCGGGGAGGGUGGGUGGUAAGUGCAAUGCUGAAUCAGAACUCAUAGAGCUGCUGGGUGGACAUGUGAAGUAAAAGAGGAGACAGCUUUUGCUCCUGAAGGAUGCCAUUUGCGUUUUCCUCAUCAGUUUGAUCUCCUCCAAUCAUCCAGCACCUCCAUCUGACCUUCUCAGCUGAGAGGUCCUCAGUGUUUCUGUGGCCUCCAGGAGAAAGGUCCCCCUCCCCGGCUGAGGCCAGGCUGAUGGCAGGCUGCACGGCCAGCCUUCCACAGUCACCUGAAGGAUACAGAAAAGGAAGAGCUGGAGGCUUCUAGCAAGCUGCCGAACUGUGUCCUCCAGCUGCGCCCAGCCCCCUGGAGGUAGCGCCGGAGCACGUGGUGGUGGCUAUGUAGGAAGGCCCCUUUCGAGCCGCCCUAUACUGUCUUUGGGAUCUGCUUUUUACUGCCACAGCCUAUGUGCUCCUGAUUCUUCUCUCAAUCCCUGGAUGGAAACCGGCCUCUGAUACUUGGCUCUGCUUCCUUGGAGGAGCUACUUAACCAUUCAGUCCUCUCUGCAGUUAGCUAUUAAGGUUGUCCUGCGAACUGAAGCAGAGAGUCCCCGCAAAGGGUGCAGAGUAGGGCACCCACAGAGGAGCCUCUAAAGCACUUUCCAUGAGGUGGAUGGCUUCUCCUCCCCAAGGGACCCAGGAAGGAAAGGAGAGCUGCUUCUGCCUCCCCAGCAGAGAGGGACCUUCCCAGAGAAGAUGUCUUGCGCCUCACCUGAUCUUGUUCUGAGAGUAGGAGACUGGAAGAGAAGCGUUCAACUCCCCAAACACAGCUGGGUUUGUUUCGUUUAAUCUCCCAGCCUGUUUUUCUGCUGUCCUCCUGAAGAAUGUUUAAUCUCACAGUUAAAACCACCAAAAGCGACUUUUUUCCCCCUCAACUGCUCAGUAACACAUGACCGUGCAAAUUCGUUUGGCCCCAGCGCCACAAGUCAUAAAAGGCAUCUAGUGGGCGGCAUGAGUCAAUCAGGCCUUUGGACGGUGACGUAACCACAGCUUGUCAGUUUCCCCAUCCAGGCAGCCCCAAUCCCCCAGUGCAGACAUCUGGAGCCAGGGAUUGACAAGUGGAUUCCAGGAUUGGGCCCUGCCUCCCGCCCUGUUCAGUUCCAGCCCAGCCACGGCCGCCGCCAACGAGGACACGCACUGUCUUUCUGCACAUUCCCACGUACACACACCCCCGCAGCCCCCUCUCCACUCAUUCCUGCAUUUCCGGCAAUGUGAAUUCUGACAGCUCGGGCAGUGUCAGCCUCUCCGGUGCAUUCCUCACCACACCACCUCACUGCUCCCGAGCCUGCUGACAGCACUCCCCGCCAUACCUACCAAGCCGAAGGUGCAAGGAACCUCUUGAUCCCCACUGUGUCUUUGUCCCAGGGCCACAGCAAAAUAGCACCCCCCUCCCCCACACACCCUCUAGCCUAAUUUAUUAGACUUUUAAACACAUUUAUUUACUGUGAUAUCUACACCACACCAAACAUCUGGAGGGAAACCGGGAGACAAUCCACCAGGAAUUUAAAUGUUUGUUCUGCAAUGUAACUUUGAAAACCGAACCAGGAAAACUUGACAUCUUUAGCCAAUUGCUUGGUGGUGAGUAGACUUAAGCCAAUAUAUAAUCUGUAAAGGUUGUCCCUCUUUGCCCUCUCUCUAUCCAUGAAACGCAUUCACCAAACAGCCCAGAAAUAUUUCUUUCUUCUCCUCUCAGAGGUAUGUGAAACCAACCUGAAUCAACAACAUAGUUGUUCAACCAGCCUCACUGAGAACGAAGGCAUUUCAGAGCUGGAAAGACGCUAGGGUCUGGGGUCUUAUCUUCCACAUUUAUCUGCCUUAUUAUAAUCCAUCCAGUCAUCCUCUUUGCCCUUGCCAGAUCUCAUCGCUUACACUACCACUACCGAAGGAGCAAGUGUAACUCCUGAGGAGUGAGCUCUUCUUUCUUCCUUCCAUAAUGUCAGGCACUAAGGGAGGUUCAGAAACACAGAGCAGCAUCUACUCCUUUCUCAACGAGCGUGGGGUCCAGUGCAGUUGGCCCUCAUUUAACAAAUAAUUACACCCAUGCGUGAAAGGUCCAGUGGGGAAACAGUGCGGGGAGCCUCAGGCAGAGCUGAUUCAGGCCUGGGGAGGCACGGGAGCCACAUGUUCAGGGUCCACAGGCCCAGCGGAGUGAUACGGAAGUUUCCAAGAUGGUAAGCCUCUCUCCUGGCCCAUGCUCACCAACGGGACCCCAUUCCUAACCAGGCUUUCCCUCUCUCUCUUUUAAGUGUUCCAGGAAUGUUCCUACCCCUGCGUCUUUGCUGAAGCCCCUCUUGCCUGGGAUGCCCUCUGUCCUCUCUUUCUGCCCACACACAUCCUGCCAGUCCUUCAGACAGGGCCAGCCUCACGGGCAUAGGACCUGAGCAGUUUCACAGGGCCCUAUGCACAGAAGGAUCCCAAGCUCGGUUGAUUGCUCCGAUCUUGCCAUCUUGAAACUCUUUGAUAAUUUUAUCUUUUAUCUUGUGUUUUGGGAGUGAAAUCCAAUGGGAUAUUGGGGCCUGCAAAGGAGAAGAGGAGAUCCGCACAAACCCGUUCCUGGCUGCUGCAUUCACCUCCAGCGUUUGUGAUGCCCCAGAGCACAGAACUCCAGGGAGCCCACGAUGCAGGAGAGUUCAGCGACAUUCACUGAGUACAAGAGAAGACUGUUGGGAGGCACCAAUGGACUUUGCAACUGGAGAUCUCCCAACUGGACCAUGUCACUGUUAUGUUUAAUUUGCACUGUGCACAGUAGGUACCCAGUCAACGUUUGUCGAAUUCCAUGGACUGGGCCUUAUACCUCCGAGGAUUUUUCACAGCAGUAGCAUGUGCACAUGCACAGAACGAGAACACAACCAAUGCUUGUUUGCUGGUGAAGACCUGGUCUCAGUAUUUUGCCCAGGAAACCCUUUCUUCAUGGACAGCAUGAGGCAAGCUAUGGCCCUUGCUGUGGUCUCAGUGGUUCAGCACGGAAGAUGAAGAUGACGGGCAGUCUCAGAAUAUUAGCUUUAGAAGGGACUUUGGAUCCUUUUGAUUUUGGUAGGUGAAAUACUUUUUAAAAAUAAAGAAAACGGACUUUGGACAAAUGCUCUCAUUUUGUAAAUGAAAAAGUAGAGACAGGAAGAGUAACUGAUUUGUCCAAAAUCAAACAAAGUAAAUUGUGUUGCAUCCUCUCCAUCCGUAACCACCUUCGCCUUCCCUAACUGCUCCAUGUGGCCUGGGAAAGUCCACUUCACCUCGUCUUAGAGGUGGGCUUCUGAUUCUAGCUAAGCCAACCCCCA